AUGCCAUGGUGAGGGCAUUUUCUCAGCAGCUCCUUAUACCUAUCCCAAACAUUAGAAACUACUUCAUCAUCCAGUUGUCUAGAAAUACAUAUUUCAUUUCUAGACUU